GCUCGUAGUUGGAUUUUGGGUUAGGGUGUCCGGUCCGCCGUUUCGGUGUGCACUGGGCGCUCUUUCCUUUCUGCCGGGGACCGUUGGGUGUCUUAAUUGCCAUCCCUCGGGAGUCGGCGUUGUUACUUUGAAAAAAUUAGAGUGUUCAAAGCAAGCCAUCGCUCUGAAUACAUUAGCAUGGAAUAACAUGAUAGGACUCCGCUCUUAUUUUGUUGGUUUCCGAGACUGGAGUAAUGAUUAAGAGGGACAGUCGGGGGCAUCCGUAUUUCAUUGUCAGAGGUGAAAUUCUUGGAUUUAUGAAAGACGAACUUCUGCGAAAGCAUUUGCCAAGGAUGUUUUCAUUAAUCAAGAACGAAAGUUGGGGGCUCGAAGAUGAUCAGAUACCAUCCUAGUCUCAACCAUAAACGAUGCCGACUAGGGAUUGGCGGAUGUUCCUUAGAUGACUCCGCCAGCACCUUAUGAGAAAUCAUUAAGUUUUUGGGUUCCGGGGGGAGUAUGGUCGCAAGGCUGAAACUUAAAGGAAUUGACGGAAGGGCACCACCAGGCGUUGUUUGCUACAAGCUCUAAGCGCCAGUCAGCGAUUGAUGGACCGCCACUGCCCUUGGCCCAUC
rnacentral:rRNA from 1 species